UGGCAGAGGAGGGAGGAGGGUUUCUAGCUGAGAGAGACUGCGGCUGUGGGCCUGCAGCCUACCCCUCUUCAAGCUCUCCGGAGCCGUUCCUGCGAAACCAGCCCCCACAAAUAAGGAAGCUGGGAUUCAGAGAAAUUAAGGGACUUGGUGAAGCAGAGAAUGCCAAGGGAAUUGAUUCAGUAGUGGACGGGGAGUCCCUGAAGACUGUUGAGCAGUGAAGAGACCUGAUCGCAUACUAAAAAAGUACAUGCAAUGGCAAGAAGAUCAACUAAGAGGACUCAAUGUACAAUAUUCCAUUCCAGCAUUGAAUUUGGGGUCAAUGGAUGACAUUCAGAUGCUCUACUCUUGCCAUGCUUUCUACUUUCAUGAGAAUUUUGAUUUAUUCUAUGUUAAAAUUAACUAAGUUAAUUUUAAUCAAUCCCUACCCUUGAUGUAAAUGUACACUUCCAGCAAGGUCCUGGUUUGGGGAGUUUGUUCAUUUAACAAAUGUUUAAUGAGCACCUGCUAGUUUCUAGCCCAGUGCUAAAUGCUGAGUUACUGAAGUAAAAAUUGUGUUCCCUCCAGGAGCUCCCAGGCUGGAGGGGGCAGAAAAUUAUUACAUGCAAGCACAGAUGACUUGUAAGAAUCUUUGCUGAUUUGGAUGGAAAUUUUCUGCCCUUGGAAUUUGGUAUCUAAUCCCUAAAUAAAACACUUUAAAGAAUGCCAAUUAGAAGGAAUAGGCAAGACUAAAA
ensembl:lncRNA PIRAT1 PU.1 (SPI1) induced regulator of S100A8 and S100A9 alarmin transcription 1